rnacentral:tRNA from 2 species
GCGCCUGUAGCUCAGCUGGUAGAGCAGCGGCCUUUUAAGCCGUUGGUCGUGGGUUCGAUUCCCACCGGGCGCA